rnacentral:rRNA from 1 species
GAAACUGCGAAUGGCUCAUUAAAUCAGUUAUCGUUUAUUUGACAGUACCUUACUACUUGGAUAACCGUGGUAAUUCUAGAGCUAAUACAUGCUAAAAACCUCGACUUCGGAAGGGGUGUAUUUAUUAGAUAAAAAACCAAUGCCCUUCGGGGCUCCUUGGUGAUUCAUAAUAACUUAACGAAUCGCAUGGCCUUGUGCCGGCGAUGGUUCAUUCAAAUUUCUGCCCUAUCAACUUUCGAUGGUAGGAUAGUGGCCUACCAUGGUUUCAACGGGUAACGGGGAAUUAGGGUUCUAUUCCGGAGAGGGAGCCUGAGAAACGGCUGCCACAUCCAAGGAAGGCAGCAGGCGCGCAAAUUACCCAAUCCCGACACGGGGAGGUAGUGACAAUAAAUACUGAUACAGGGCUCUUUUGGGUCUUGUAAUUGGAAUGAGUGCAAUUUAAAUCCCUUAACGAGGAACAAUUGGAGGGCAAGUCUGGUGCCAGCAGCCGCGGUAAUUCCAGCUCCAAUAGCGUAUAUUAAAGUUGUUGCAGUUAAAAAGCUCGUAGUUGAACCUUGAGCCUGGCUGGCCGGUCCGCCUCAC